rnacentral:rRNA from 1 species
UGGGUUUAGAACGUCGUGAGACAGUUCGGUCCCUAUCUGCUGUGGGCGUUUGGAGAUUUGAGGGAAGCUGAUUCUAGUACGAGAGGACCGAAUUGGACGAACCUCUGGUGUUCCGGUUGUCACGCCAGUGGCAUUGCCGGGUAGCUAUGUUCGGAAAGGAUAACCGCUGAAAGCAUAUAAGCGGGAAGCCUCUCCCAAGAUUAAAUCUCCCAGAGACUUUAUGUCUCCUAAAGAGUCGUCAUAGACUAUGACGUUGAUAGGCAAGAUGUGUAAGCGCUGCGAGGCGUUGAGCUAACUUGUACUAAUAACUCGUGAGGCUUGAUCAU